GACGAACGCUGGCGGCGUGCUUAACACAUGCAAGUCGAACGGAAAGGCCCUGCUUUUGUGGGGUGCUCGAGUGGCGAACGGGUGAGUAACACGUGAGUAACCUGCCCUUGACUUUGGGAUAACUUCAGGAAACUGGGGCUAAUACCGGAUAGGAGCUCCUGCUGCAUGGUGGGGGUUGGAAAGUUUCGGCGGUUGGGGAUGGACUCGCGGCUUAUCCGCUUGUUGGUGGGGUAGUGGCAUACCAAGGCUUUGACGGGUAGCCGGCCUGGGAGGGUGACCGGCCACAUUGGGACUGAGAGACGGCGCAGACUCCUACGGGAGGCAGCAGUGGGGAAUAUUGCACAAUGGGCGGAAGCCUGAUGCAGCAACGCCGCGUGCGGGAUGACGGCCUUCGGGUUGUAAACCGCUUUCGCCUGUGACGAAGCGUGAGUGACGGUAAUGGGUAAAGAAGCACCGGCUAACUACGUG
rnacentral:rRNA from 1 species